AACGAACGCUGGCGGCAUGCCUAACACAUGCAAGUCGAACGAGACCUUCGGGUCUAGUGGCGCACGGGUGCGUAACGCGUGGGAAUCUGCCCUUGGGCUCGGGAUAACAGUUGGAAACGACUGCUAAUACAGGAUGAUGAAUUCGGAUACAAGAUUUAUCGCCCGGGGAUGAGCCCGCGACGGAUUAGCUAGUUGGUGAGGUAAGAGCCCACCAAGGCGACGAUCCGUAGCUGGUCUGAGAGGAUGAUCAGCCACACUGAGACUGAGACACGGCCCGGACUCCUACGGGAGGCAGCAGUGGGGAAUAUUGGACAAUGGGCGAAAGCCUGAUCCAGCAAUGCCGCGUGAGUGAUGAAGGCCGUAGGGUUGUAAAGCUCUUUUACCCGGGAUGAUAAUGACAGUACCGGGAGAAUAAGCCCCGGCUAACUCCGUG
rnacentral:rRNA from 1 species